GAUGAAGAACGUAGCGAAAUGCGAUACGUAAUGUGAAUUGCAGAAUUCAGUGAAUCAUCGAAUCUUUGAACGCACAUUGCGCCCCCUGGUAUUCCGGGGGGCAUGCCUGUCCGAGCGUCAUUACAACCCUCAAGCUCAGCUUGGUAUUGGGCCCCGCCGCUCCGGCGGGCCCUAAAGUCAGUGGCGGUGCCGUCCGGCUCCGAGCGUAGUAAUUCUUCUCGCUCUGGAGGUCCGGUCGUGUGCUCGCCAGCAACCCCCAAUUUUUUUCAGGUUGACCUCGGAUCAGGUAGGGAUACCCGCUGAACUUAAGCAUAUCAAUAAGCGGAGA
rnacentral:misc_RNA from 1 species